rnacentral:rRNA from 1 species
GUAGAGUUUUGAAUCAUGGCUCAGGACGAACGCUGGCGGCGUGCCUAAUACAUGCAAGUCGAGCGGACAGAUGGGAGCUUGCUCCCUGAUGUUAGCGGCGGACGGGUGAGUAACACGUGGGUAACCUGCCUGUAAGACUGGGAUAACUCCGGGAAACCGGGGCUAAUACCGGAUGSUUGUUUGAACCGCAUGGUUCAGACAUAAAAGGUGGCUUCGGCUACCACUUACAGAUGGACCCGCGGCGCAUUAGCUAGUUGGUGAGGUAACGGCUCACCAAGGCRACGAUGCGUAGCCGACCUGAGAGGGUGAUCGGCCACACUGGGACUGAGACACGGCCCAGACUCCUACGGGAGGCAGCAGUAGGGAAUCUUCCGCAAUGGACGAAAGUCUGACGGAGCAACGCCGCGUGAGUGAUGAAGGUUUUCGGAUCGUAAAGCUCUGUUGUUAGGGAAGAACAAGUGCCGUUCAAAUAGGGCGGCACCUUGACGGUACCUAACCAGAAAGCCACGGCUAACUACGUGCCAGCAGCCGCGGUAAUACGUAGGUGGCAAGCGUUGUCCGGAAUUAUUGGGCGUAAAGGGCUCGCAGGCGGUUUCUUAAGUCUGAUGUGAAAGCCCCCGGCUCAACCGGGGAGGGUCAUUGGAAACUGGGGAACUUGAGUGCAGAAGAGGAGAGUGGAAUUCCACGUGUAGCGGUGAAAUGCGUAGAGAUGUGGAGGAACACCAGUGGCGAAGGCGACUCUCUGGUCUGUAACUGACGCUGAGGAGCGAAAGCGUGGGGAGCGAACAGGAUUAGAUACCCUGGUAGUCCACGCCGUAAACGAUGAGUGCUAAGUGUUAGGGGGUUUCCGCCCCUUAGUGCUGCAGCUAACGCAUUAAGGCACYCCCGCG